rnacentral:rRNA from 1 species
UGGGGAAUAUUGCACAAUGGGGGAAACCCUGAUGCAGCCAUGCCGCGUGUGUGAAGAAGGCCUUCGGGUUGUAAAGCACUUUCAGUGGGGAGGAAGGGGUUAUGCCUAAUACGCAUCAUCAUUGACGUUACCCACAGAAGAAGCACCGGCUAACUCCGUGCCAGCAGCCGCGGUAAUACGGAGGGUGCAAGCGUUAAUCGGAAUAACUGGGCGUAAAGCGCACGCAGGCGGUUAGAUAAGUCAGAUGUGAAAUCCCCGGGCUCAACCUGGGAACUGCAUUUGAAACUGUCUGACUAGAGUCUUGUAGAGGGGGGUAGAAGUCCAGGUGUAGCGGUGAAAUGCGUAGAGAUCUGGAGGAAUACCGGUGGCGAAGGCGGCCCCCUGGACAAAGACUGACGCUAAGGUGAGAAAGCGUGGGGAGCAAACA